GCCCGCCGCAGCGCCGCGCCUGCAGAGCGCUCGGGGCUGGGCGGAACCCGGGAACUGCCGCGCGGCCUCGCCGCGGGCCUUAGCGCCUGGGGCGGCGGGCGCAGGGACCCGUCGGCGCCCCUGCUCGGCCCCUGCUCUCCCGCCGCUCCCACGCGCUGCCCGCAGUGCAGGCAGCCAAUGGGAGCGAGGGCCGCCCACCGUUCCUGCCCAGGGGCGCGUCCGCACGGCCGCGCGGGCUCCUGAGGCGGCGCGAGGCGAGCGGUGGCGGCGCGUCGCCCGCUCGGGCCGCGUUCUGGUUCUGGUUCUUGCCCGGGUUCUCGCCUGCCCCUUCGCCCGGAGCCCGCCCGCUGUCCAGCGCCGGGGCGAUCGCACCACCGAGGGUGACGGGCGAGCCCCGGCCAGACGCGCCCCGCAGUCUGCGCUCGUACCCCGGCCCGCGGAGCCCCUCGCCGGGCGACCAGACCUUUGGGGUGGCGCUGCUGCCGCGACCCCCUGCGGCGUCAGCCGGUGCCCGGAGCCGGCGCACUGGGUGUCCUGAGCGCCAGGAUGGAGAAGCUGCUGUUUUCUUUCAUGGUCUUCAGAAAGUCUUGAGUCUGAAGCUGCCUGAGGGGCCUUGACAAGAAAGUACAAGGAGUGUCCAGAAUUUGCUGUGCUUCAAAUCCUGGCCUAUCUCUGAAAGCUGCUUUUCAGAAAAAGCAUUGCAAGUCUGCAAAAGCACAAAAUCCUGUAAACUACUUAAUUGCUACAGCAAGCAUGAUCCAGAUUCCUUCUGCUCUUUGGGCCUGACUUUUCUCUACUCAGGUAGAUUUCCAGUUAUGUGAGUUGCAUACUUCCACUUUGCAGCAACUCUACCUACUAAGGCAAAUUCCUCUGCAAGGUGCAGAGAUGGGAGGCUUGGAAGCUUGCAAUCUGAUGGGUCCUGCUCACCUAAUUACUCUUCUAGAUACAAAAAAAAAUUAAAUGUCAUUUCACUGGUGACUGAGUUUGCCAAAGUACAAAAUGUCUGUGAGCCCAGCACUUUGGUCCUCAGCGGGAAGUUGCCAUUUCACACCAGGCCUCUUUAUGCACAUGUGCAGCUUCUUGUAAUCAGCCACGGCUCAUCCUGAGAUUCAUAUGGCCGACAGAUAAUCAUUCUGGUGACUGAAGGACAAUGACAAACGUUUCUUGUAGGCAAGAAGUUUUCAGAUAGUUACAGAAUAUAUUCAGGAUCCACUAUUAAUGUCUUUCUGCUGAACCGAAGCAACAUCAGAUCUUAACUUCCUAGUUUUAAUUCUAAGACACACUCAAUGAGAGACUGCGUGGAUUCAGAUGGCAGAUUAGAUGGCAACCAUACUUCUGAGAAGAAUGGGAGUAAGGCAAUGAGACAUAGGAAAAGUAUAUGGUGUCCACAAGGGUACACUGACAUGGAUGCUCAUGCAGUCCUGCAGUGUUGAAGGGGGACAAACUGCAGGAGCUGAUGCUUCAUCUGCUAUUAAUUGCAAAAGCCAUGCAGCUAUGCCUCUACUCUUCAUGCAGACCAGCUAAAUCAAAGGUGAGUUGGUACUUUUUGGUACAGCUUGUAGUUAGGCCACGGAAGAGUCGUACAGUGAAUAUUCUUGAGCACAAUCAACUCAGCUCACAACAAACACAAAGCUCAACUGUUUCAUUACUGCAUUAUUCUCCAUAAAAGUAUCCCCAUUCAUGACAGAGGUGAAUUGAGUCCUGUGUUUCUUCCAAAUAACUUGGAUCGGUAUGAGAUGUGCUACCUCUUUGUCCUGUUCAUUGUCAACCAUGCAAGAGUUAUCCCAUUAACUGCCAAAUUUUAACUAGUUGGCCAGAUAGCUGCUAACUAUUAGGAGCCCCUCAAACUCUCUACCACAUGCUUUGACAAAUUUACCUGCCUCAUCUGACCCUGAAAUAACAACUUAUGGAAGAGAUGCAGCAUGACCACUUAAAAUUUUUUAAAAUGAGGAAGGUCCUUCAUUUCCAGUUUGGCCACGUAAUGUGCUGUUUCACCAGACUUCAUUUGUUUUGACCGGUUUGCAGUGAAUGUGAAUAUGCAGAUAAUUCCAGAGCCUGUGAUUCAGAAGUUAAGCAAUUUGUCCAACUCUAUUUCUAUAAUUCCCUGUUUGUUUGUGCCUUAAGCUACAAGAGCAUCAAGAAGGAACAGUCCUACCAACAGGGAACUAUGCAGGGAACUGUGCUCCUGUACAAAUAUAUUUUAUUCCAAACAAAAACUCUUAGUACUGAUUAUAUGUAUCGGAACAGCAAUGCCGUGUGCAAAAAAUUAGAUGAGAAGAGCAACUCCAGCUUCCACGUAUUAAGGAGGCAAUAGAGUAUGUCCCUUGUGCUUCAGUUUUUCCUCAUUCAUGCUCUGAAACUGUAGUCUCUGGGAUGUUUGUCAGAAGGAACCUAGUAGAAAACAGGCAAGUUCUCACCCAGCUUAUCAUUUCCAAAACACGCUAUUAAAUCACAUCAGUUUGAAACAGAAGAAUUCAGAUUAUUUCCUCAAAGGUCUGUGCUGUAAAGUAACAGUUGUCACAAAUAUAAAUCUUCAAUUUUCUAUUGUACUUUCAUGCCACUCUUUAAAGCAUUUAGUAAACGAAAAAGCACUGACAAAAGAUCACUUUUCAAAUUUGUCAGCAUUAGAUUAUUUUGAUGAAUGUCACAAAUAAUAACAAGCUGUAUUGCUUUUGUUUUCCCCCAGAUGUUACCUGUUCUCCCAUUAAUACACAUGACUUCCUUUACAAGGGAUUUUAUAUAAUUUGAACCAAAUAACUUAAUACAGGUGACAAAUGACUGUUGGAAAUGUACUUUUAAGGUUAGUUCUCUGCAGUCUUUUAAGCAGUGGCAGUGGUGGAAUAAAGGGUAAAAGGGGUAUUUUGCCCCUUGCUUUUCAUUUAGAGGUUGUGUCCUGGGUUGAGUGAGUGGUGGAGUUGUUUUUGGUGGCAGGGGAGGGGGCUAUCGGGGCGGCCCCCUGUGAGA